rnacentral:rRNA from 1 species
UACGAAGGUGGCAAGCGUUACUCGGAAUUACUAGGCGUAAAGGGCAGGUAGGUGGUUUGGUAAGUCUGUUGUGAAAGCUCCCGGCUUAACUGGGAGAGGUCAACAGAAACUACCAGGCUUGAGUAUAGGAGAGGGUACUGGAAUUCCCGGUGUAGCGGUGAAAUGCGCAGAGAUCGGGAGGAACACCUAUGGCGAAAGCAGGUACCUGGACUAUUACUGACACUCAGCUGCGAAAGCUAGGGGAGCAAACAGG